UGCUAGCAGCCGCGGUAAUACGGAGGGUGCAAGCGUUGUCCGGAUUUAUUGGGUUUAAAGGGUGCGUAGGCGGCCCUUUAAGUCAGUGGUGAAAGCCCGCAGCUUAACUGCGGAACUGCCAUUGAUACUGGAGGGCUUGAGUACGGUUGAAGUAGGCGGAAUUUAUGGUGUAGCGGUGAAAUGCAUAGAUACCAUAAAGAACACCGAUAGCGUAGGCAGCUUACUAAGCCGUAACUGACGCUGAGGCACGAAAGCAUGGGGAGCGAACAGGAUUAGAUACCCUGGUAGUCC
rnacentral:rRNA from 14 species